rnacentral:rRNA from 1 species
UACGGGGGGGGCAAGCGUUGUUCGGAAUUACUGGGCGUAAAGGGCUCGUAGGUGGCCAACUAAGUCGGACGUGAAAUCCCUCGGCUUAACCGGGGAACUGCGUCCGAUACUGGAUGGCUUGAGUUUGGGAGAGGGAUGCGGAAUUCCAGGUGUAGCGGUGAAAUGCGUAGAUAUCUGGAGGAACACCGGUGGCGAAGGCGGCAUCCUGGACCAACACUGACACUGAGGAGCGAAAGCCAGGGGAGCAAACAGG